rnacentral:rRNA from 1 species
UGCUGGAACGCGCCCCAGGCGCACCCAGAAACCCUUUGUGAACUUAUACCUUUUGUUGCCUCGGCGCAUGCUGGCCUCUAGUAGGCCCCUCACCCCGGUGAGGAGAAGGCACGCCGGCGGCCAAGUUAACUCUUGUUUUUACACUGAAACUCUGAGAAAAAACACAAAUGAAUCAAAACUUUCAACAACGGAUCUCUUGGUUCUGGCAUCGAUGAAGAACGCAGCGAAAUGCGAUAAGUAAUGUGAAUUGCAGAAUUCAGUGAAUCAUCGAAUCUUUGAACGCACAUUGCGCCCUCUGGUAUUCCGGAGGGCAUGCCUGUUCGAGCGUCAUUUCAACCCUCAAGCAUUGCUUGGUGUUGGGGCACUGCUUCUAACGAAGCAGGCCCUGAAAUCUAGUGGCGAGCUCGCCAGGACCCCGAGCGUAGUAGUUAAACCCUCGCUCUGGAAGGCCCUGGCGGUGCCCUGCCGUUAAACCCCCAACUUUUGAAAAUUGA